CGGAGGGGGCUAGCGUUGUUCGGAAUUACUGGGCGUAAAGCGCACGUAGGCGGAUCAGAAAGUUGGGGGUGAAAUCCCGGGGCUCAACCCCGGAACUGCCUCCAAAACUCCUGGUCUUGAGUUCGAGAGAGGUGAGUGGAAUUCCGAGUGUAGAGGUGAAAUUCGUAGAUAUUCGGAGGAACACCAGUGGCGAAGGCGGCUCACUGGCUCGAUACUGACGCUGAGGUGCGA
rnacentral:rRNA from 13 species